rnacentral:rRNA from 1 species
AGUGAACGCUGGCGGUAGGCCUAACACAUGCAAGUCGAACGGCAGCACAGUAAGAGCUUGCUCUUACGGGUGGCGAGUGGCGGACGGGUGAGGAAUACAUCGGAAUCUACUUUUUCGUGGGGGAUAACGUAGGGAAACUUACGCUAAUACCGCAUACGACCUACGGGUGAAAGCAGGGGAUCUUCGGACCUUGCGCGAUUGAAUGAGCCGAUGUCGGAUUAGCUAGUUGGCGGGGUAAAGGCCCACCAAGGCGACGAUCCGUAGCUGGUCUGAGAGGAUGAUCAGCCGCACUAGAACUGAGACACGGUCCAGACUCCUACGGGAGGCAGCAGUGGGGAAUAUUGGACAAUGGGCGCAAGCCUGAUCCAGCCAUACCGCGUGGGUGAAGAAGGCCUUCGGGUUGUAAAGCCCUUUUGUUGGGAAAGAAAAGCAGCAGGUUAAUACCCCGCUGUUCUGACGGUACCCAAAGAAUAAGCACCGGCUAACUUCGUG